rnacentral:rRNA from 1 species
GACGAACGCUGGCGGCGUGCUUAACACAUGCAAGUCGAACGGAAAGGCCCUGCUUUUGUGGGGUGCUCGAGUGGCGAACGGGUGAGUAACACGUGAGUAACCUGCCCUUGACUUUGGGAUAACUUCAGGAAACUGGGGCUAAUACCGGAUAGGAGCUCCUGCUGCAUGGUGGGGGUUGGAAAGUUUCGGCGGUUGGGGAUGGACUCGCGGCUUAUCAGCUUGUUGGUGGGGUAGUGGCUUACCAAGGCUUUGACGGGUAGCCGGCCUGAGAGGGUGACCGGCCACAUUGGGACUGAGAUACGGACCAGACUCCUACGGGAGGCAGCAGUGGGGAAUAUUGCACAAUGGGCGGAAGCCUGAUGCAGCAACGCCGCGUGCGGGAUGACGGCCUUCGGGUUGUAAACCGCUUUCGCCUGUGACGAAGCGUGAGUGACGGUAAUGGGUAGAGAAGCACCGGCUAACUACGUG